rnacentral:tRNA from 1 species
AGCCGCGAGGUAGAUACACCAAAAUGCAAAUUUGGAGACGCACCCCCAAAGGGUGCCGGGGCUU